GCCUGGGUGGCUUAGUCAGUUAAGUGCCUGACUUUGGCUCAGGUCAUGAUCUCAUGGUUCAUGAGUUCAAGCCCCAUGUCGGGCU
rnacentral:tRNA from 1 species